UGGCGAGCGGGCAGACGGUCUGCGCACCGGUCUAUCCGCGCUGAACGUCACGCCUUGAGUACCCCAAUGGCUUCGGCGGUUGUCGUCAUAAUCCAGUCGCAAGGCGCGCUAUUCUGAAAUCCAAACCGGGGAGGGUCAGAUGGCGGAUAUCGACGGUAUCAAGAUCGCCAGUCUCACGCAUGACUUCGUGACGAAGAAGUCUUUCGUCGGACUGGUCUGGGAAAGCGACGCCAGCAAAUCACUGGGACUGGAGGUACCGUUUUGCUGCAGCCCGGAGC
rnacentral:misc_RNA from 1 species